GAUGAACGCUGGCGGCGUGCCUAAUACAUGCAAGUCGAGCGAACAGACGAGGAGCUUACUCCUCUGACGUUAGCGGCGGACGGGUGAGUAACACGUGGAUAACCUACCUAUAAGACUGGGAUAACUUCGGGAAACCGGAGCUAAUACCGGAUAAUAUAUUGAACCGCAUGGUUCAAUAGUGAAAGACGGUUUUGCUGUCACUUAUAGAUGGAUCCGCGCCGCAUUAGCUAGUUGGUAAGGUAACGGCUUACCAAGGCAACGAUGCGUAGCCGACCUGAGAGGGUGAUCGGCCACACUGGAACUGAGACACGGUCCAGACUCCUACGGGAGGCAGCAGUAGGGAAUCUUCCGCAAAGGGCGAAAGCUUGACGGAGCAACGCCGCGUGAGUGAUGAAGGUCUUCGGAUCGUAAAACUCUGUUAUUAGGGAAGAACAAAUGUGUAAGUAACUAUGCACGUCUUGACGGUACCUAAUCAGAAAGCCACGGCUAACUACGUG
rnacentral:rRNA from 1 species